rnacentral:rRNA from 1 species
GUACGGGGGGGCGAAGCGUUGUUCGGUAAUUACUGGGCGUAAAGGGCGCGUAGGCGGUCAGACCAAGUCGAAUGUGAAAUUCCAAGGCUUAACCUUGGCGGGUCGUUCGAUACUGGUCGGCUAGAGUGUAGAAGAGGAUGUCGGAAUUCCCGGUGUAGCGGUGAAAUGCGUAGAUAUUGGGAAGAACACCGAUGGCGAAGGCAGCCAUCUGGACCGACACUGACGCUGAGGCGCGAAAGCGUGGGGAGCAAACAGG